GCGGGUAGGCGUAUUGGCAUGCAUCGCGGCUUUUUGCGCCGCGUCCUUUUGUUCCGGGCCAAGGUUCCCGUU
rnacentral:tRNA from 1 species